rnacentral:misc_RNA from 1 species
GAUGAAGAACGUAGCAAAAUGCGAUAAGUAAUGUGAAUUGCAGAAUUCAGUGAAUCAUCGAAUCUUUGAACGCACAUUGCGCCCGCUGGUAUUCCGGCGGGCAUGCCUGUUCGAGCGUCAUUUCAACCCUCAAGCCCCCGGGUUUGGUGUUGGGGAUCGGCUCUGCCUUCUGGCGGUGCCGCCCCCGAAAUACAUUGGCGGUCUCGCUGCAGCCUCCAUUGCGUAGUAGCUAACACCUCGCAACUGGAACGCGGCGCGGCCAUGCCGUAAAACCCCAACUUCUGAAUAUUGACCUCGGAUCAGGUAGGAAUACCCGCUGAACUUAAGCAUAUCAAUAAGCGGAGGA